AAACAUAAAUGACGUUUUUACUGAUUACUGUAAUGACGAUUGACUCAUUCUCGGUAUGAAGUUAGUUGCUUUAUUAACUUGACGGUGUAUGUAAUGCGUUGUUGCGUUGUUGCGCUCUGCAGUGAAAAAUAAAAUACUUUUAAUAUAUAAUAAAUUUAUUGUUGAUGUUUUAUUUUAUUCGACGAGAAAUAAGUGAUUGAAGAUUUAUUUUACAAGGGUAUUUCUAUUGAACGUAUUUUUUCUAGAAAUGCAACCUGAUAACAACCCACGACUUCCUACUUACGCAGAAGCAACAAGAGCGCAAGUGAACCACGCUCACGAGCACUAUCCAACUACAUAUCCAGCGUACACAAAUCCAAUACCUCCGUAUACAACAUCUGAGCUGCCGAAUUAUUCUCACCCGCCUACAGUGCCACUCUAUCAGUAUGAAAAUAAUCAGUUACCCACAAACACUCCCGCUGCUCAACGAAUCCAUAUAAUUACAGAAAUAGUCCCGCAAUCUAGAUCCGUCAGCUGUGCAAGACGGCAUGGAAUUUUUUGGGGAAUCAUAUUUGGUCUUCUCAUCUUUGCCGGCAUUUUACGAGUGAUAAUAUCGUAUCACAACCGAAGAUACUGAGCUUAUCAAUUGAUAAUUAUUAAUUAAUGAUUAUGACUUCGCUUUGCAGAUGUCAUAAGGCCGUAUAAAAAAUUUUUUUUCGGGAAUCAAUGUAAUUAUGUUUUUUUUAAAU